rnacentral:rRNA from 1 species
CCAAUAGCGUAUAUUAAAGUUGUUGCAGUUAAAAAGCUCGUAGUUGAAUUUCGGGAUCAAUAUGUUGGUCGUGCCUCGGUACGUACUAGCAUAUUGGUUUCUCCUUUCUGAAGAACCAUGAUGUCAUUUAUUUGGUGUCGUGGGGAAUCAGGACUGUUACUUUGAAAAAAUUAGAGUGUUUAAAGCAGGCUCACGCUUGAAUACAUUAGCAUGGAAUAAUGAAAUAGGACGUUUGAUUCUAUUUUGUUGGUUUCUAGGAUCGACGUAAUGAUUAAUAGGGAUAGUGGGGGGCAUUAGGAUUCAAUUGUCAGAGGUGAAAUUCUUGGAUUUAUUGAAGACUAACUUCUGCGAAAGCAUUUGCCAAGGAUGUUUUCAUUAAUCAAGAACGAAAGUUAGGGGAUCGUAGACGAUCAGAUACCGUCGUAGUCUUAACCAUAAACUAUGCCGACUAGGGAUCAGACAAUGUUAUUUUAUUGACUUGUUUGGCACCUUAUG